rnacentral:tRNA from 1 species
GCAGUAUUAGUUCAAUGGUAGAAUGUCAGUCUUCCAAACUGAAUAUGUCGGUUCGAUUCCGGUAUACUGCU